rnacentral:rRNA from 1 species
GACGAACGCUGGCGGCGUGCUUAACACAUGCAAGUCGAACGGAAAGGCCCUGCUUUUGUGGGGUGCUCGAGUGGCGAACGGGUGAGUAACACGUGAGUAACCUGCCCUUGACUUUGGGAUAACUUCAGGAAACUGGGGCUAAUACCGGAUAGGAGCUCCUGCUGCAUGGUGGGGGUUGGAAAGUUUCGGCGGUUGGGGAUGGACUCGCGGCUUAUCAGCUUGUUGGUGGGGUAGUGGCUUACCAAGGCUUUGACGGGUAGCCGGCCUGAGAGGGUGACCGGCCACAUUGGGACUGAGAUACGGCCCAGACUCCUACGGGAGGCGGCAGUGGGGAAUAUUGCACAAUGGGCGGAAGCCUGAUGCAGCAACGCCGCGUGCGGGAUGACGGCCUUCGGGGUGUAAACCGCUUUCGCCUGUGACGAAGCGUGAGUGACGGUAAUGGGUAAAGAAGCACCGGCUAACUACG